rnacentral:lncRNA from 1 species
UUCGCCAUUGCUCCACAUUUGAUGUAUUGACUGCGUUUUUGUGGAGGUGCCGAACCAUUGCACUUCAACCAAACCCAAAUGAUGAGAUGCGGAUACUAUGCAUUGUCAAUGCUCGCAAUAGAUUUAACCCUCCGUUACCUAGAGGUUAUUAUGGAAAUGCCAUAGCACCCUCAGUGGCAAUGGCAACAGCGGGAGAAAUCUCACGAAAUUCUUUAGGCUUUACGUUGGAAUUAGUGAGGAAGGCCAAGCCUAAUGUGACGGAAGAGUACAUGCGAUCAGUGGCUGAUCUGUUGGUGAUUAAAGGUAGACCUCGGUACACAAUGGUGAGGUCUUACCUGGUGUCGGAUUUGACUCGUGCAAUGUUUGCAGAGAUGAACUUAGGUUGGGGUAAGCCGAAGUAUGCGGGCCCUGCUAAGGGUAAUGUGGCAAGCUUUCAGAUACCAUAUAGGACAGAGAAAGGAGAAGAUGGUGUUCUUGUGACUAUUUGCUUACCGACUCCGGCUAUGGAAAGAUUUGCGAAGGAACUGGAUAGCACGUUUAAGGAGCAGUCAAAUGGUGGUGGCAAUGCUAAAUCCCCAUUAUCUUCCUUGUAGGGAAAAUGUCUAUUUUUCCAAAUGAUUUAAAUGCAUUCGUAUUGUGUUCAUUUACUUUGAGUGUUCAUGUGGACAAUCUAUCAGCUUUUUAUAUAUUUAUUUCAAUAAAUGCUUCUGUUGAUUGGUCAUGGACAUAUAACAAGGCCUUAUGCUGGACUUGCUUGAAGAGAAGAGGCAUGGAACUUGUGUGUUUGAUUCUAUGGUGUAAUGUAUUUUUCAAAAUUAUUUGAGAUGAUAUUAGAAUUUUAUUGAUUAGUUUAAAUUUUAUUAUUUUAUUUUAAUUAAUAAAAAUUAAAUAUAGAUAAUAUAAUCCUAUGUAAAUUUCAAGUUCAAAUGGCUUUCAUUUGAAGGUAUAUGUUAAAAAAUUUUCUUUUAUUUUUAUAUUUUGACUCUAAAAUGACUAGACUUAACCCUUAAAGCUAUGAUUUACUCUACUAAAGUAGAUUGAUUUUAAUCAUUAGAUAAACCAAUGGAGCUUAUCUUAGAUAAGGUGUAUUAAAAGCGAUACGUCCUUCUUAUACACAAUUAGUUCCCAUAUCCAGACUUUAGAACUAGUUAGAGUUCUUAAUGAUCAAAAUAUUAGGUGGCAACUUCAUCUCUUUUUUUUACUAAUAAAAAAUAAUUUUUUUUUUUCCAUCUAUUACCAGAAGAUCCUGGUUCAGGAGGAUAUUCUCUAUAAUGCCAUACACGUGUGACAAAAAUGAUAAAAACUUUUUUCACUUAUACCAUUGAAUUUAAAACCAAUUAAGAAAUUUAUAAUAUAAUAUCAGAGCAUUAAAAAAAUUAAAAUUGUUUAGUCCUCUAAUGUGGACUUAGAGUUGUUUUACUAUAGGUUACAAUAGUGAAUUGAUGAUCUUAUCCUUCACAACAAAGAAAAAUUAUAUUUUCUAUAAGGUUCAAUUAUCAUUAUCAUAUUGAUUGGAAACACAUUGGUCUUUUUAUAUUUCAGAUGCAUUGUGAAAUUAUUUAAAUAUCCUUAAAAGUAAAAAUAUAAAGUUGGGUACAUGGGCUUUUUGGUUUUUUUAACAAUUUGAUUGCACGGUGUAAUGAUUAAAUUAUUCUUAAAAACAAAAUACUAGCAUCCAGGGGCACAUUUGUAUUUUUCUAAAGGUUUUUAGUUAUAAUCAAUUAAAAUGAGGGACAAUUCAGUUUUUCUACACAUAUGAAUAUAAUUAAAAAAUUAAAAGCAGCUAGUGCGUGUUAUACAUACACUAGCGAGUAGAGGCACUUUGUUCUUUUGAUUGCUAUUUUUUUUUAUCAUUUUUUUAUUUUAUUUUCAGUUUCAUUCCUCAUUGUUUUAUUUCAUUUAGUUUUUAUACUAGAUUUAGUCAUUUAUUCUUUUGAUUGAUAUUUGGUUUCAUUUUAAAUUUUGGAUGAUUGAAAAUUUUGCUUCGUGAUUUUUUUGGGUUCGUCUACUAUAAGUUAACCUGGUCUCAUGUUCUGAGUCAUGGGUUUUAAAGAUUAGCACGAUUUGACUUUAUUUUUUUUAGGUUUUUUAUAAAUUAUUUUUAUUUUUAUUAUUUAACAUUAGGUUAGUGGGCUUUCAACUUUGUAAUUUUUGUCACUUUCCUUUCUAUAUACAAAUCUCAGGUUGUAGGUUAGUUGAGUUAACUAGGGUGAACUCAAGUUUUUUCAUCAAUUUUUUUAGUUUUGCCUUUCAUUGUAUUUUUUUAAUUUCUUUUAUACGAGGUUAUCCCAACCUCACAAUCAGACCAUGAAUUUGACAUGCUGACUCGAGUCAGGUUAUUUAAUCUCUUUUAAAAUUGAUUUUUUUUAAUUUAUCCUUCAACAUUUGAUUUUUUUUUAUAAUUGAGCUUUAGAUUUUUUUAAAAUUUUUAUGAGGUUAUCAUGUUUUCAUUUAAUUUUUAUUCUGUUAUCAAAUAAGAUCGUUGAGAUCUUUUAAAAAUAUUUAUCGAGGAUAUUUCCAAAACAUUGACAAAAUUUUAUUUUUUUUUAUUAUUCAUUAUCAAUUUUUUAACUUUUUUUUUUAUUGACUUUUUUAUAUAAUUAUAUUAUUAAAUUAAACGAGAUUAUUGAAUGAAUGAUCAUGAUCCAGGUCCUAAAUUUCUGUUGUUGCUUUAGAAACACCAUCAUCAUGUAGGCAUUUAUUAUAUAUAUAUAUAUAGCACAUUGUCGUAACAAUGGAGAAUGACAAUCAAUUUUAAUUCAUAAAUCCUCUUGCUAUGCCUGAGGUGGAUAGAUAUUCCAACUAUUUUGAUUAAAAAUGUUUGAAUAAAAUUUUCUUGCUACCACUCCACACGUGACAUUCUCUCGUGUGGCUAUUAAUAAUUGUUUCAUAACUUUUAGUUAAUGAAACCUUUUAUUUUAUCGUCAACCUGGUUCAUGAUUGUAUUUUUCUUAACAGUUAAUAAUUUUGAAUCCUAAAAUAAUUAAGAAAUAGAAAAAAAAAUCUCAAAAUAUUUUAAGAGCCACACAUACAUGUGUAUGUGUUAUUGUUGCCCGUUAUGUAAACAAAUCUUUUAACUUUGGGUUUCAAUUUUAAGGAUAAACUGCAAAAAAAAAUAAAAAAUUAUAGAUACCUUGAAAAUUUUAAUCUCUAUGCUCUGAUUAUUAAAAUAAAUAAAUCAUAACAUUGCAUUAUUGGAAAAGAAAUUAAAAUAUUUUUUAACCUAUUGAAUUGAUUAAAAGUUAGAUGAUGAAAAAAAUUAUUUUCAUAAAAAUUGCUUGAAUAAUAGAUACAUUAAUUCGUUUCAUUAACCAUAGAUAAACUGAACUUCAUUUUUUCCUUCUUUCUUUGAACAUCAAACUUCAUAUUAGAAAUAUAUAGCUCACAAUAUUGUGAGCUACUCAAAACUUUUCCGAGUGAUGCUAAUUCAAAAUACCUGGGACUAAAUUAUACUCAUUGAAGUACUUUCCAAUUGAAUUGAUAGCGUGUUUGAGAGUAUAGUUGUAAUUGUUUUUUAAAGUGUUUUUCAUUAAUAAAUAUAUCAAAUAAUAUUUUUUUUAUUUUUUAAAAAUUAUUGUUAACAUCAGCACAUCAAAAUGAUCUGAAAACAUCAAAAAUAUUAAUUUAAAACAAAAAAAAAUUAAAUUUUUUCAAACUUUUCACAAUAGUGAGCCUUAAAGCUUGCCAUAUAAACAAGUCAAGUUCGAGCUUAACUGAGCUUGACUCAUCAAAGCUGAUGAGUCGAUGCAAUCGGAUUUAUAGACGGCAAGCUAGUUUAAAAGCUUGUAAAUAAAUUCAUUUGUAUGUUUGUGAAAAAUGGAAAGAAAAAUCAAACUCAAUGCUUUUGUAAAAUAAAUUUUAGUAAUACAUUUAGCAAGUGUUAUACUUUAAAAAUCAUAAAUUUAUUUUGUAUAAAAACUCGAGAAAUACACUAAGUUUAUAUAAACUUUUAUGAUUUCACAAUUGUACUAUAGCUUUUGCUGAAAAAAUAAGUAGAGUUUUCUAAUGAAAUUGGAUUAGAAGUAAAGAAUUAAGAUCAAUUGAAAUAUGAAUUUAAAUAUUUAUGCUAAGUAUUUAUUUAAUUUAUUUAGUUGAAACAUACUCUUAAUAUGUCAUGAAAUAAUGAUUGAAAAUAAACAAGUUUCAAAUAUUUAUAUAUUUUAUUAAAUUCAAUUUCUAAUUAUAUUCUAAAAAAUAAGAAUUCACAUAUUUUGUAGUUAGGAUACCAAAAUUUAAAUCUAACUCGGUUAUAAUUUUUUUAAACUAUUUAGCUAAGAUGAGUCCUAAUUGAUAGAUGAAACAAUUUUUGCAAUGUUGUUGCACACAUUUAUUAAUCAACCAAGCUGUACAUAUAGGUUUAAGAGAAGCUAAACAACACCUAAAUACAAGGAAGGAUAAGAGGAAGACUCCUAGUUUUAAGGAAGUUUGAAUUGUUGCUGAAUACAAGGAAGUUUAAAGAUGAAUGAUUUGAUCUUCAUUUUGAUAAUGUUGAUCUUCAUUCUGAUAAACCCCCUCAAGAUAGGCCACGGCUAGAGAGGCUAAUCUUGCCACGUAAAUUUUGAAAUUGCCAGAUUUCCAAGAAAUAGGAGUGGUGCCAAGAAAUAUAAUGUAGCCACCAGUAGAUUUUCGAUCAUCAAUAUUGCCGGCCCAAUCGGUAUAAGUAAAACCAUGAAGAGAUAAAGCAGAGUCACGAGUAAGGUGGAGUCCAAAGGAGGAUAUACCUUUUAGGUAUCGCAUGAUACGCUUAACAACGGCCUAGUGGCCUUUGGUAGGAGCAUGCAUAAACUGACAUACCUUGUUCACAGCAUAACAUAUAUCAAGUUGAGUAAAGAUAAGAUAUUGAAGAGUACUAACAAUUUGGCUGAAGCGAGUGGCAUCUGAAAACAACUUAGUAGACUGCAAAUUAAGCUUGGAAACAGAUGUUGAUGUAUCAACAGGUUUACACGAUGACAUACCAGCACGAUUAAGAAUAUCAAGAACAUACUUGUGUUGACUAAGCAUAAGACCCAUACUGGUGGGAGCAACUUCAAUCCCUAAAAAAUAACAUGCAUGACCUAAGUCACAAAGUUUAAACUCUGAACUCAGCAAGGUAAUGAGGUGAUGAAUCAAUUUAGAGUUAUUACCAAUAAUUAAGAUGUCAUCCAUAUAGACAAGUAACAGAUAUCAUGAGUCCCAUUUAGAAUAAAUAGAGAGGUAUCAACCUUUGAAGCCUGAAAACCAAUAGUCAAGAGGAAAUCACUUAGUCGCAUGUACCAGGUCCGCGAUGCUUGUUUUGAACCAUAAAGAGAUUUGUGAAAGCGACAAACAUGAGUGGACAAAGUAGUGUUGACAAAGUUUGGGGGUUGCUGCAUGUAAACAACCUUACGAAGUGAGCCAUUGAGGAAGGCAUUGUGAACAUCAAGUUACUGAAUCUGCCAUCUUUUUCAGACUGUAAUUGUAAGAACUAACCAAACAGUAGUCGGUUUAACAACUGGACUAAAGGUUUCUGAAUAAUCUAUACCUUCCUCUUGGGUGAACCCUCGCGCAACCAAACGAGUCUUGUACCGGUCAAUGGCCCCAUCAGCAUUGGCAUUGGCAUGUAAGGCUGCAAUUUCAUCCUUCAUGGCAGUAUGCCAACGCAAGUACUGGUCAACUUCCUUAAAACUCAAAGGCUCAAGAGCAGAAGGGGACAUUACCUGUGAAGCCAAAAUUAGCGGAGAGGAAGUCGAAACAAAGAUGAUGUUGGUAGUCUUUGACUGUCAAGGACGUAACACCAUAGGAUGUUGCCGAAUGGGUGGCGGAGAAAAAGACGGAUCAGUGGAGGUCAGCUAUGGAAGAGAGUAUGUGGAAAGAUCCACACAUAAGUCUAAAUCAUAAAGAGACUGAGGAGAGUGCUCAGAUGGAGAAGACAAUGCUAAUGACGAGGCUAAAGAGGUUGCAGCACAGGGCGAGUAUGCCAACACAAGUACUGGUCAGCUUCCUUAAAACUCAAAGGCUCAAGAGCAGAAGGGGACAUUACCCAUGAAGCCGAAACUAGCGAAGAGGAAGAAAAAACAAAGAUGAUGUUGGCAGUCUUUGGCUGUCGAGGACGCAACACCAUGAGAUGCUGCUGAAUGGGUGGCAGAGCAGAAGGCGGAUCAGUGGAGGUUAGCCGUGGAAGGAAUUAUGUGGAAAGAUCCACACAUAAGUCUAAAUCAGGCAGAGACUGAGUAGAGUGCCCAAAUGGAGAAGACAAUGUUGAUGAUGAGGCUGGAGAGGCUACAACAAAGAGUGAAUCUGAUAAAGAUAAAGCGGACACCGUAAAAUCUGAACUUACAAGAUGAUCAAGAGACAUAGAUGAAGAUGAUGGUGAGGGGACCGAUAAGUUAGUGGGAAGGAAAGGUGGGGCUAAGAUUGGUUGAGAUGGAAAAAUAGUGAGGGGGGUAGGUGACAGGCGGAGAGGAAGAUGGGGACGGGAGGACAAACUCAAUGAAGGGAAAACUUGUUCAUGAAAUCAGACGUGAUGGGAAAUGUAGAUGCGGUCAAACAACAAAUCAAGACAACGAUAGCCUAGAUGAGACGAACUAUAGCCUAAGAAUACACAUGGAGUGGAGCGAUAGUCUAGCUUAUGAGCAUUGUAAGGAUGAAGGAAAGGAAAGCAGAGACAUUCAAAAGUACAUAAAAAAGAAUAAUUAGGUGUCUGAUGAAACAAACAAUCCAAGGGAGAUUUGUUGCUUAAAAUCGAGGUUUCAAACAUAAUUCCAGAAUUUUAGAGAUGUCUUACAUUGGCAUAAAAGAGUAAGACUGGUUUCAACAAUAUAAUGAUGAUGACGCUCAACGACACCAUUCUGUUCAUGAGUAUGUGGACAUAUGAGAGGAUGGUGAAUACCGAUGGUUUUAAAAAGGAAUUUAAUUUAUGAUAUUCACCACCUAGUCAAUUUGAACAGUUUUGAUUUUACGAGAGAACUGCUGUUCAAUAAGCAUUUGAAAUUGUUGAAACACAUUGAAUACAUCUGAUUUGAUGGCAAUAGGAUAAACCAAAUAAAUUUUGUAUGUGCAUCUAUAAAUAUGACAAAAUAACAAAAAAAUCAUACGAUAGCAUAGGGGCAAGGCCCAAAACAUCACUAAAGACAAGUUCAAGAGGAAUAUAUGUUUUAUAGUUUGUAGGUCCUAAUGACAAACAAGAGGAUUUUCCAAAUAGACAAGCUUGACAUUGAAAAUUAAGAUGAUGAGAGGUAGAAACAACCUUUUUAUUGGAAGCUAAGAGACUCAGAAUACGGGAACUGGGGUGACUAAGGUGAUGAUGCCAAAUAUCGGUAGAAGUGGCCAUGCUAAUGGACAAAAAAGCUUGCGGUAGAGAUGUGAUAGAAGACUCAGAAAGGACAUAGAGGUCGUCUUUACUCCAACCAGAAAGAAGGACUUCCUUGGUAAUGAGAUCCUUAACGUAAAAAACAGAAGAGUGAAACUUAAAAAAGAUAUAAUUUUCACGAUAAAAUUAUUGAACAUAUAAUAAUUUUUUUUAAUGUGGGGAACAUGUAAUAUGUUGGACAAGGUGAAGACUCGUUUUGGUGUAUGUAGGAGAUUAUGUACGGUAUUAGAUAUAACAAGUCCCUUACCAUCACCAACAUGCAAUUGAUCAUUACCAUGAUAAGGUUCUGUGUGUGUCAUACCAGUAAUGUUCGAAGUAACGUGGUGAUUCACACUUGUGUCAGGAAACCAAGAGGCAUAAUCCUGAGCUGAUAUAUUAUUAAAGGAGAGGUUGGUCGAGGUGUGAUUUCCAUGAUGAAUAAGUUGAGAACACUGCUGUGCGGAAUGGCCAUAGAUGUGGCAGAGCUGGCAUUUUAUUUGCUGUAGUGGCUACUGAUUUAUUGCUGCACCACAGUGUGGAUGGUUAUGCCACUGUCCAUUGUGGCUGCGGGGCUGCUGCCAAGGAGAACCACCACCAGCAUCAUGAAAGAACUGACCGUAACUUAAAACACGUCUUGCGACAAGACGCGGACAUUCCCUAUGCUGCGGUUAUCUUGGGAUUGGCUAGGUUUCAAAGGCAGGACUUCGUUCGAAGAAGGAACUGAUGCCACUAACCACUCUUUUGUCCUCUGCCUUGAUGAGCCAUGAAACCACUGCUAUUUGACCCAGAAAAACCACGCUGGGCAGUAUAUACUAAGGGGGCCUGCGUAAGGGUGGGCAGCAGUGGUGCAGUAGGUAGACUAGAGGAUACCAAGCUGCAAUGUAUGAAUUCAUGAGUAAACAGGUGAUUAUGAAGCUCAGAGUACGACAGAGGAUCAAGUUUGGUUGACAGACUUGUAACCAAAUCAUGAAAUUCACCGUGAAGUCCCGAAACACAUAUAAGUUAAAAUUGGUGAGAUAAAUAGGUCUGCCAGUUGCAACCAAUUCAUCAAAUAAACCUUUUGCGCGUUGCAAGUAGAGAGUGACAGUAUCAUCACCUUGUCAAAGAUCCUGAAAAGAGCCAUACAAUUGCAUGAUCCGAGAGUUGGAUGGAGAUGCAAGAGCAAGAGCAAGUUCAAGGGUGCUCCAAACACUGACAAAGGUUGGAUAAUCAACCAUGAGAUGAAGAACUUCAACCGAAAAAGAGGACAACAGAGCACUAAGGAUGAGCUGGUCUUACUGUUUCUAAGUCAAGAACGCUUGGCAGGGUCCAAAAUUGAAGGUAGUAGAGACAACAUAAGCUGUAAUGGAUAAAUUAUAUGAAGAGGGGCAUGGAGUGAAGCCAUCAACAAACAAGAAAACUCUUUGACCAAUCAAAUACGGCUUCAUCUGCAGACGCCAAAAAAAAAUUGUUAUUUGUAAGUUUGAGAUUAAUAACCUGCUGGGUGUUGGAAAGGGGAAUAAAAACUGCUGUUGCAGCAGAUGGAGCCAUGGUUGUGUUGGUUGCUGUGGUGAGUCCAAGGACAGGGGAGGAAGAAUUUGGAGAAGAUGAGUUGACAUUAAUGCCUGCAGCAGUACUAAUUGUAUGAUCCAUGACGAUGACAGAUGGAUAUCCUACGAAGCCUUUGAUAGAGAGGAGAAGGCACAACAAUGUAGCAAACAAAAUUUGACAGUAGAGAAAUAACAAAUCUGCAGCAAAAAAAAAAGGAAGAGCAAAAGAUGCAGCAGAGAACAAAGGAGCAGGGAUUGUGGUAGGAAGAAAAAUCUGCAACAGAAAAUACAAGAACUGAUUUAAGAUAGAGAGGCUCUGAUACUAAGUUAAAAGGAGAGAUUUGUAAUAAUUUAAUGAGUGCCAUAACUCCUCUGCUAUUUAUAUAAGUAAGGCAUUAUACAUAUGUUAUGGUGUAACUUAUUAUACAUAAUAAAACUAUACAAGAGGAAACAUAAUAUUUUCUAUUUUACAGAACAUCCCAUAAUAAUGCUUUUGUAAAAUAAAUUUUAGUAAUAAAUUUAGCAAGUGUUAUACUUUAAAAAUCAUAAAUUUAUUUUGUUUAAAAACUCGAGAAAUACACUAAGUUUAUAUAAACUUUUAUGAUUUCACAAUUGUACUACAGCUUUUGCUGAAAACAAUAAGUAGAGUUUUCUAAUGAAAUUGGAUAAGAAGUAUAUAGAAUUAAGAUCAAUGGAAAUAUGAAUAUAAAUAUUUGCUUAAUAUAUGUUAUUUAUUUAUUUAAUUUAUUUAGUUGAAAUAUACUCUUAAUAUGUCAUGAAAUAAUGAUUGAAAAUAAACAAGUUUCAAAUAUUUAUAUAUUUUAUUAAAUUCAAUUUCUAAUUAUAUUCUAAAAAAAUAAGAAUUCACAUAUUUUGUAGUAAGGAUACCAAAGUUUAAAUCUAACUCGCUUAUAAUUUUUUUUUAAACUAUUUAAUUACGAUGAGUCCAAAUGAGUUGAACCAAAGCCUAAUAAAUUUUGAAUAAAUUGAAUUUAAAUUAGCAUAAACACUAUUCUAACCUGAAACUUGUUAAUUAAAAUUGAACAGGUCAAGUUCGAAUACACUAAAAAAAACCCCCUAAAAGGUGUGCUUUUUUCAUCGUGGAUAGAUGUAUUAUAACAUGUGAUAGGGAUUUUAGGCUGUAAUGUUUUUUUUUUCCUUUUGUUUUACACUUUGAUCAUCAAAUUUUUUUCUUUCAAAUUUAUCCUUAUAAGUUGUGUUGUUUUAGAAUUGAAAUUUAUAAUUUUUUUUUAUAAUUACUGUGGUGUCAAUUUUUUUUUCUAAUAUCAAGUUGAUGCUAAAAUUUAUAAAAAGAAACUUGGUUUUAGUGACUAUGAAAAUAUACAAAUAGUGGAUCAAAUUUAAAAAUGAGGCAAACAAUGAUUUGUUUUUAAGCAUAGUUUUGAAAUUGGACUCGGGAAUCUGUCGAUCCGGGGCUAGAACCAGGCCGGGUUUAAAAAAAAAUAGGAUAAGGAAAAACCUGGUAUAACCUGUCAAGAUCCAAUUUCAAUUAUUGACUUUUUUUUUUAAUUAAAAUAACGUCGUUUUGAUUUAAAAAAUAAAAUUGACCCAACUGACUCGAUAACCUAAUCAAAACCUGGUAACCCGGUCCAAACCCAAAACUUAAAUUUUAGACCGGGCUGGAUCCAAAAACUAUGUUUUUAAUGAUAUGUCUAUUCAAUACUUUUUCGGCAUUUUUUGCCUUAGGAGUUAGGCAAAUUUUGUAUUGGUCUCUAGUUUGCUACUGUUUUUUUUUUUUGCUCAAAAUUUCAUUUCAGUCAUUUUUUAUACAUAAGUUUGAGGAAAACUGAAAACAAAUUAUUAAAAAAUACAAAGAUAAAAAGUUAUUGGCUUAUUAUAUUCUUAACAUAAAAAAAAAUCAAUUUUAGUAUAACUAUAGUUUUUUCAAUAAGAGAGGUUUUAUCUGAGUUGAGAAAGAAUUAUUUUCUGAUUUGAUUUUAUAUUUUUAGAUAAAUUUAGAGAUAAUUUAAAUUGAUAUAUUUAUUUAUUAAUAUUAUAAUAAUAUUUAUUAUAUAGUUUUAGAUAAAAAUAAAUUAAAAAUCUAUUUUAGAUAAAAAAAACAUAAUCCAAUUUUUCAGCCGCCUUUCUAAUAGCCAUAAACUAGAAGACAAAUGACGUCUUUAUUUUUAAAACAGGGUUUCCUAGAUAAAAUAAAUAAAUAAAAGGCGAGGCGGAAACUAGUACUUUUCUUUUAUUAGACUAGGGUUGGUGGUCUUUUAUUAGAUUAGGGGUGGUAGGGCCACCCAACCCUAGGUGUUUAAUUUUUUUAAAAAACUUUUAUCCUUCUAUUUUUUUUUGUUACAUUUAUAUUACAUAAAUUAUUUAAAUUUAGUUUACAUGUCGAUUAAACAAGCAUUCAAUUUUAAUAGAUAUUAAUUAAGAUAAAUUAUAUUUUUAAUAAAAUAUCAUUUAAUUUUUACUUAAUUUUUUAAUAACACUAAUAUUUUUUUAUAUUAGUAGACAUUUUUUUUAUCAACUUUAUAUAAUAUGUUUUUUUCUUGAAUUUUAUUAAAUUAUUUUCCUGUAAUUGUUUAUAUUUAUUAUCAUUUAAUUAAAUAAAAAAUUAAUUAAUUUUUUUUUUGUUCCAUUCAACAGCAAAGUGUGAGUUAAUGGCUAGUUAAAAGCUUCAAAUAAUUGUUUUUUUUUUUUUUUACGAUGAAGUUGUGAAAUAUUUCACAUAAACAAUGAGCUUUUCUUGAGUUUUGAUCCUACAUCAAGUCAUGAGCUUGCUUGUAAACUUUGUAUUUGGACUUAGUAGCUAGUACUCUUGAAAAAAUAAUUAUCUUAUGGAAAAAGGGAUUCUUUGAUGUUUCAAUCAGUAAAUGCAUGAGAAAAAAAAAAUAUUGCAAUAAUCUAGAGAUAUGCGUUGGAGACGGUAGAUUUUUGUGAUACUAAGAGCGUGUUUGAUAAUAUAAUAAUGACUGUUUUUCAAAUAACUUUUCGUGUUGAAAUACAUAUCAAUAAUAUUUUUUUUAUUUUUUAAAAAUUAUUUUUGACAUUAGCACAUCAAAACGAUCCAAAAAGUACAAAUCAUAUUAAAUUUUAGCAAAAAAAAAAAACUUUUAAAUUUUUGGAAACGCGGUUUAAACGGCGCUCCCAAACGCUACCUAAAGCGAAAAGGAUAGGUCAGUGACAAAAAAAUAAUAUAUAUUUUUUAAAAUUUAAUGUAGAUUAAUGUGGAUGUUCGGACAGCUUGCAUGUAUUUUGAUUAAUUUAAUAAAUUUUGAAAUUAAUGAUCAUAUAAGUCUUGAAUAAUUCUGAAAUUUAUAAAAUUUAAAUUAAUAAUUUUUUAAAAAUAAAUAUAAAAUCUAACGGGCGAGUUAUAUAUAUAUUUUUAAAAAAAUACAAUACUUUUUGUACAGUAAAGAGAAGAGAGGGUGAGUCGAGGCCAUGUAAGAAGAUUAGUGGCCACAAAAUGGCCAUAAAAAGGUCCAGAUCCACCUGGUUCUUGGCACCAACGACUCUACAAAGUGAGUGGCUGUUUGGGAUCAUUUAUUUAUUUAUUUUUUAAAACUCUUUUCCUCUAAUGCUUGUCAGAUGGACUGCUUCUUCAUUUCACUCGCCCAUUUAGAAUUGACUUUUAUUCCACUUCGCUUAGUCCUCAGCCCAAACAAAUUGAUAAGCACCGUCACGAUUAUUUAUUCCUUAUUUUAAUGUUUCGAUGCCGUCUUAAAUCUUGAUAUCGUCUACCGAUAUAUAUUAGUGCCAGCUUUCAAGAUGAACAAAAAUAAAAAUAAAUAAAUAAAUCAUCUCUGGUUCUCUGCCAUGGCAACACCACCCACCCCACUGGUGUUCAAGGUGUCUAGACGGGAACCAGUUCUGAUCACCCCUUCUGAGCCAACGCCACAUGAACUCAAACCUCUUUCAGACAUAGAUGACCAAGAUGGUCUCAGAGUCCAAGUUCCAGUCAUUUAUUUUUACCCUUACGAUCCUUCAAUGCAGAGGAGGGAUCCUGUUGAGGUCAUUAAGGAAGCACUUGCUAAAACACUGGUGUUCUACUAUCCAUUUGCUGGUAGGCUUAGAGAAGGGCCUAAGCGUAAGUUCUUGGUGGAGUGCACAGGUGAGGGUAUUUUGUUUAUUGAGGCUGAUGCUGAUGUUACGCUCGAGCAGUUUGGUGAUGCGCUCUAUCCUCCAAUUCCUUGCCUGGAGGAGCUCCUCUUUGACGUGCCUGGCUCCGGCGGGAUGAUUAACUGCCCUCUGCUGCUUAUUCAGGUUUGUCUCCUGAGUGUGUUUCUUGCUUAGGGAUCAUCGAUUCUAUCUUAGUUUACAAAGCAGGAUCAUCCUUCUCUGUUUUUUUUACACAAAAUUAGAGUACAACUCAUGAAACAACACCAGCCAGCCAAAUUUAACUGUGUUUCUCAAGUGUGGACAAGUUAAAAUGGAUGUAGAAGAACAGUACGAGUAGUAAAACAAGCAGCAAAAGAAGAAGAUUUGAAAGAGAGAAUAAUCCUAUCCCAAAGAAGAGUCCAAGAUGUUUAUCAAGCAAUGCCAGCCAUAAUUGUUUGGUAGAAUAUUGGAAACUUAUCCUUCAAUUCAGUACUUACUGUUUGCAAGAAAAGGAUUUAAUAUUUCUCUAUUGUUAAAUUUGGUCCACUAGCUAUAUUAUCUUAAAUAAAUAAAAUUAUAUUUAAUUUUAUGAAAUCGAGCAUCAAACAAGAAUCCAAUUUGUUUCUCGAUGAUACUACGAGUAGCCAAUAUCAAAACAAAUAACAAAUCACAAUCUCAAACUAAUCAAAUAGAAAACAAAAUUGAUGAUUGAAAUGAAAAAAUAAAUUAAUGUCCUUGUGUAACCUUUUUCUAAUUUUUUUUUUUUUCAAAGGGAAGUUUACAUGUAUCCAUUAUAUAUUUCCACUAGAAUAAUGUGCGGGGAAGGGGAGUUCUGCAUAUAAUUGAAUGAUAGACUACAGAGCAUCUGGAAGAGGGUGUUUUUUUUUUAAUCUUCGUUUGCAUAAUGAAAAGCAAGUAAUAGCAUUUGAUAUAGGUUUACAGAUAUUCUUUUCUAAUCAUAGCGAAGAAAUUCAUAAUGUACCGACAGAACCGAUUGUUGAACAUAGAUUAACUACAUGGAUGCAGCGCUUGAGGUUGAAUAUUAUCGCAGUUAAAACAGAUCAACAAGUUCCAUGAGUUGAUUAAACUAACAGAUGGUUUGUCUGUAUAAAACGACAGGUGACGCGUCUCAAGUGCGGCGGAAUUGUCUUUGCCAUCCGUCUGAACCACACCAUGAGUGACGGUACUGGCCUAAACCAAUUUUUGUCAGCCAUGUGUGAGAUGGUGCAUGGAGCACAGACUCCUUCUAUCCAACCAGUUUGGGAAAGGGACGUUUUAAAUGCAAGGAACCCACCUCAGGUAACCUGCUUACACCACGAGUAUGAUCAACUGGUUGAUGACACCACUGACAACGUUCCGCUUACAAAGAAGACCCAUCGUUCAUUCUUUUUUGGAGCUGCUAACAUAUCUGCUAUUCGUGGCUUUGCCUCACUACACCUUCGCCAUUGCUCCACGUUUGAUGUAUUGACUGCGUUUUUGUGGAGGUGUCGAACCAAACCCAAAUGAUGAGAUGCGGAUACUAUGCAUUGUCAAUGCUCGCAAUAGAUUUAACCCUCCGUUACCUAGAGGUUAUUAUGGAAAUUGCAUAGCAUACUCAGUGGCGAUGGCAACAGCGGGAGAAAUCUCACGAAAUUCUUUAGGCUUUACGUUGGAAUUAGUCAGGAAGGCCAAGGCCAAUGUGAAUGAAGAGUACAUGCGAUC